UACGUAGGGUCCGAGCGUUAAUCGGAAUUACUGGGCGUAAAGCGUGCGCAGGCGGUUUUGUAAGACAGAUGUGAAAUCCCCGGGCUCAACCUGGGAACUGCAUUUGUGACUGCAUGGCUAGAGUACGGUAGAGGGGGAUGGAAUUCCGCGUGUAGCAGUGAAAUGCGUAGAUAUGCGGAGGAACACCGAUGGCGAAGGCAAUCCCCUGGACCUGUACUGACGCUCAUGCACGAAAGCGUGGGGAGCAAACAGG
rnacentral:rRNA from 1 species